rnacentral:misc_RNA from 1 species
UUUCCGUAGGUGAACCUGAGGAAGGAUCAUUAUUGAAUAAACCUGGAUUGGUUGAUGCUGGUCUUUUCGGAGACAUGUGCACACCUUGUCAUCUUUAUAUCUCCACCUGUGCACCUUUUGUAGACCUGGAUUCAACUUUCCGAGGAAACUCGGUUGUGGGGAAUUGCUUAAUAGGCUUUCCUUGUUAGUUUCCAGGGCUAUGUUCUCAUAUACACCUUAAGAAUGUAACAGAAUGUCAUUAUUAGGCUUAAUUGCCUUAUAAACUAUAUACAACUUUCAGCAACGGAUCUCUUGGCUCUC